AUGCUAAUACCGCAUACGUCCUACGGGAGAAAGCAGGGGAUCUUCGGACCUUGCGCUAAUAGAUGAGCCUAAGUCGGAUUAGCUAGUUGGUGGGGUAAAGGCCUACCAAGGCGACGAUCUGUAGCGGGUCUGAGAGGAUGAUCCGCCACACUGGGACUGAGACACGGCCCAGACUCCUACGGGAGGCAGCAGUGGGGAAUAUUGGACAAUGGGGGGAACCCUGAUCCAGCCAUGCCGCGUGUGUGAAGAAGGCCUUAUGGUUGUAAAGCACUUUAAGCGAGGAGGAGGCUACUUUAGUUAAUACCUAGAGAUAGUGGACGUUACUCGCAGAAUAAGCACCGGCUAACUCUGUGCCAGCAGCCGCGGUAAUACAGAGGGUGCGAGCGUUAAUCGGAUUUACUGGGCGUAAAGCGUGCGUAGGCGGCUUAUUAAGUCGGAUGUGAAAUCCCCGAGCUUAACUUGGGAAUUGCAUUCGAUACUGGUGAGCUAGAGUAUGGGAGAG
rnacentral:rRNA from 1 species